UCCCUGGUGGUCCAGUGGCUAAGACUCUGUGUUCCUAAUGCAGGGGGCCUGGGUUCAAUCCCUGGUCAGGGAA